GGGGGGGAUUUGUCUUACAUACUUAAGUACACUUCUACAUUCUCUGUAUGUGUGGGAUUUUUUUCAGAUUAUGCUGGAACUUGAAGUAGUUGGGGAGGAUGACCACAGUUUUCAGGAGCAUAUUAUUGCCACUAACGAUGAGGUGAGCCAGCCAGACAUCCCCAUUAUAAUGGACAGAAUGAGGCGUACGCUUUACAAGAGGGUGGAGCAUAUGGGGAAGCCGACUGAGGAGGUGAUGGGGAUGUUCCCUUUUCUUCAGGUGCCAGAGCUUUGAGAAGAAGUACCAAGAAGGUAUGUCUGAGAUGCAUAAGCGUUCCAUUCGGAGAAGUGCACAAAGAUUCAUGAUGCAGGGCAGUUGCAUGUAUCUGAAGCCCAAGGAUGGAGAGCCACCAAGGAGGGUCAUCUUGUCUGACGAGGAGAGGGAUGGUGUGCUGGCGGAGGUCCACGCCGGCCACUUUGGAGUGAAGCGCAUGAUGGGGAAGAUCAAUCAGCGCUUCUGACGUGGCAUGGUCCGUACCUGCGUGCCUUGUCAAAAGUUUGAGAAGGUGAAGACCGAGGCACCAGAGCUGAAGAGCAUUAAGUUAGCGUCACCUUGGUACAUGAUCGCAAGGUGUGGACCUCAUCGGACCGCUCAAGGCCUCUUCAAAGAAUCAGAAUCGGUACCGUCUUACCGCAACCGAUUUCUUCACCAAG
ensembl:lncRNA